rnacentral:rRNA from 1 species
UGGGGAAUAUUGCACAAUGGGCGCAAGCCUGAUGCAGCCAUGCCGCGUGUGUGAAGAAGGCCUUCGGGUUGUAAAGCACUUUCAGCGAGGAGGAAGGUGGUGGACUUAAUACGUUCAUCAAUUGACGUUACUCGCAGAAGAAGCACCGGCUAACUCCGUGCCAGCAGCCGCGGUAAUACGGAGGGUGCAAGCGUUAAUCGGAAUUACUGGGCGUAAAGCGCACGCAGGCGGUUUGUUAAGUCAGAUGUGAAAUCCCCGGGCUCAACCUGGGAACUGCAUUUGAAACUGGCAAGCUAGAGUCUCGUAGAGGGGGGUAGAAUUCCAGGUGUAGCGGUGAAAUGCGUAGAGAUCUGGAGGAAUACCGGUGGCGAAGGCGGCCCCCUGGACGAAGACUGACGCUCAGGUGCGAAAGCGUGGGGAGCAAACAGGAUUAGAUACCCCUGGUAGUCCACGCUGUAAACGAUGUCGAUUUUGGAGGUUGUGCCCUUGAGGCGUGGCUUCCGGAGCUAACGCGUUAAAUCGACCGCCUGGGGAGUACGGCCGCAAGGUUAAAACUCAAAUGAAUUGACGGGGUC